CGAUCGAGUAGCGGAGAAUAAUUUCGCGUUAUAGUUCAUUUAUGAAAUCAUACAUUUCACACGUCUAUUGCUAAUUCGCCACGCAUACCGGUCGAGUUACGCGCGUCGCGGCCUAAAUGCCGCAUUGUAAGCCCGGCACCUACGCAAUUCCGUUUAAGUGGCGAAUAAUUGAUCUGUACAAUGUGACCGUGGUGUGUUCCAUUGUGCGACCGAGCUGGCCUACUUUCGAUUACAAUGCUCGCUUGCUAUUGGAAACAGAACAAUUUCGCAGUGUUGAUUAUUGAGACUUACGCGCGUACGUACGUAUGCAAGUGCCCUGUCCACCGUCGUCCGCUCAGCCAUCUAAUAAUAGAAGGACGCAUCAUUGCAAACUAAUAUCACUCAUCCCUCGUCGAUAGAAGAACUAUUCGUUGUUCAUCUCGUGGAGGAAGGAAUGGAAUCAGAUCAGGAGCGGAAUGUGGCCAGCAGAAAAUCACAGAGGAGCAGGGUAAACGGUGGCACAAACCUGGGAAGAAUUUAAUCGAGGAGCUUGUAAUGAAUACGGCAUGCUGUCGAUGCAGAAUUUAAGAGACUUGGAAUGACAGAAUUACAUGGAUGGGGCAUAUAAAAGUGGGAAAACACGAGACCAUGAAGCGACGGGCGAAUAUUUUUUGGGCAUGUAGUUUCCAAAUAUUACAAAUAAAGUAGCAGUAAUUGUGCCGCAUGGAGGCUUGAUGGAGCAGAAUUUUCAACUGGCCGGCAAUAAAACGCAUUUUACCGUGUUCCAUGCAGCAAAUAGAAUUUCACCGAUUGCCGCGGCGAACGGGGACACAACGAGCCGAAUGCAGAGGCUAAUAAUUCAAAAAAUUUGCGCGCAAUAUCGAGCAGCAAACGAUACGAGGCUUUCGGUUUG